CUUAGUGGCAGGCAAAGAAAAAUUGGAUUGAUUUCACUGGGACCAUCACUGCCAAACAAACAUAUUGUGUAGAUCCCAGAAAUCAGUCUUGGAAGCAAGCACCUUUCCAUGAUGAGUCAUCUCACCCGAUUUGCUGUUCUGUAAGAGUGUCUUGCUGCUGUUCCUGGCCUACAGAGGACAGCCAACACUUACUUCCUCAUGUAUGCCCUUCCUCCUCGCAUCAGUACCUUCUGUAUCAGCCAGUAAAUGAAUACCUGUGGAUCCUUGUGUGAAACGUGGCUAGGAGGAAAGUAUUCUGCUUUACAUGGAUUAAUAACCCAGCUCUGAGGAGCUCAAAAGAUAAUGGCAGAAGAGAAUUAGCAAUGGGCCCUGAAGGUGAAGAUUGGAACACAGAUGAGCUUAAAAUAUAGCAGAGGUAACAGAGGCCAGGCACCCUAUGGGAAUGUAUCAACAUUAGAAAUGAGAAAAUCAGAAAAUAGAAGAUGAGUGAGAAGUAAUGGAAAAUUAUCAAGAAGCCUGCCUUUAAGCCUUUUUUCCUGCACAAAUUGAUGGUGACAGCAGCGAUACCAAUUCAAUUACAUAACAUCUUCUGGUUCCCAGUAAUGAUUCUGAGUAGGUCAACGAGGACCAGCUUGGAACAAGAAUGACCAUGAAUUAAAAGGAAAGAAUAAGCAAUGAAAGUCUGAGUUACAAUCCAUUUUCACUUCCGGGGAAAUUUUAAGCCAUAUUAUCUUAUAAAGUAGGCAGGAUAAGU